rnacentral:ncRNA from 2 species
UAUCGUGAGGUAGAAUCUGAAGGAAGCUGGAGACAAAAUCUUGGCUCGACGAACAGAAACCACAUACUAAGGCUGUAUAAACUGGAUGAGCUUGCCAAACAAAGUAAAGUCCAAUACUACACGAGGUUUAUAUAGUAAAUGUGGCGGGUAGAUGAGAUGAAAGUG